UACGUAGGGUGCGAGCGUUAAUCGGAAUUACUGGGCGUAAAGCGUGCGCAGGCGGUUCGUUAUGUCCGAUGUGAAGGCCCCCGAGCUCAACUUGGGAAUGGCAUUGGAAACUGGCGGGCUGGAGUGUGGCAGAGGGGGGUGGAAUUCCACGUGUAGCAGUGAAAUGCGUAGAGAUGUGGAGGAACACCGAUGGCGAAGGCAGCCCCCUGGGCUAACACUGACGCUCAUGCACGAAAGCGUGGGGAGCAAACAGG
rnacentral:rRNA from 1 species